UCUCUUGCUAGGACAGCUUCAAUUGGAACAAUGAAAACUUGCGUUCUUCUUGUGCUCUUGGUGCUCUUUGCCGCUGUUGUCAUAGAAGACACAGCCGGACAAGGUAUAGCGCGUGCUACGUGCUCCUGCUGUGGCCAAAUUUGUCAUACCGACCAUGGGACUUGCUACUGCGUCGGAAAGCCCCCAAAUUGCCGCUGUGGUGCCAGCGAUUACACAAAAUAAAUGAAUAGCCACCCGUCAAAAGUAACCAUGACCAGUUGGACAUACGGAAGAAAACAGGAAAUUAGUCCCUCAGCUAAAUGUACAGCUGCUGUAUUUGGACUUUUUUUGGGAAUUUUGAAUUCAAAAAUAAGUUGCCAUAAUAAAGUUUGUAGUAAAUGGGCUGUAUUUACUGCAUCGUCAAAGCUCAGAAUUUA